rnacentral:ncRNA from 1 species
GUGUUGUAUGAAAGGAGAGAAGGUUAACACUCUGCUUGACAAGGAUGGAAGAGGCCCUCGACCUGACAAUAUGCAUACAGUUAAGGCAUUGUCACCUACUUCAUGGCAUCUAACCAUUGUUUUUA